GACGAACGCUGGCGGCGUGCUUAACACAUGCAAGUCGAACGGAAAGGCCCUGCUUUUGUGGGGUGCUCGAGUGGCGAACGGGUGAGUAACACGUGAGUAACCUGCCCUUGACUUUGGGAUAACUUCAGGAAACUGGGGCUACUACCGUAUAGGAGCUCCUGCUGCAUGGUGGGGGUUGGAAAGUCUCGGCGGUCGGGGAUGGACUCGCGGCUUAUGAGCUUGCUGGUCGGGUAGUGGCUUACCAAGGCUUUGACCGGUAGCCGGCAUGGGAGGGGGGCCGGCGUCAUUGGGACUGAGAUACGGCCCAGAGUCGUACGGGAGGCAGCGGUGGGGAGUAUUGCACAGCGAGAGGGAGCCUGAUACGGCGGCGCCGCGUGCGGGAUGACGGCCUUCGGGUUGUGAACCGCAUUCGCCUGUGACGAAGCGGGAGUGACGGUAAUGGGUAAAGAAGCACCGGCUAACUACGUG
rnacentral:rRNA from 1 species